rnacentral:misc_RNA from 1 species
UCAUAACGUAUCCACGUAUAAACCAACCUUUAAUGAUGUGAAAACGUAACUGUUUAACACCUCGAGAUAUUCAGAUGAUUGCUGUACUUACAUUGUUUGCGUGAUUAAAGCAAAAACGGUAGUACGGACUUGUUUCAUUUCAACGAUGAAACUAGCGCUGAGUAUUUGGAGUGUAAAAUUUAAUCA